AGUUAAUGAUCUUGUCUGCAUUGAUUCAACUUAAAACUAUUGUCUGAUCGGUUGUCAGGUGGAAUUUUCGAAAAAUCAUAAACAUUUAAACAAAUUCUAAAUAAAUAUUUCGUGGAAGGGCAGACUAGAUUUUUUUAGUGGUUGAAGACUAUAAACCAUAGUUAUCACACACAAAAAAUUAGAAUUUUUCGAAGAUAUGCAUUUUCAUCAUCCAAUUGUAAGACUGUCGUCAAGUACUUUCAGUAAAAAAAUAGCUAUUCGAACACACUUUCUCUGUUUUUGUGACUCAUUAGAUAGGUAUUUCACUUGACCCA
rnacentral:lncRNA from 1 species